ACCAGACUCCUACGGGAGGCAGCAGUGGGGGAUAUUGCACAAUGGGGGGAACCCAGAUGCAGCGACGCCGCGUGGGUGAAGAAGCGCCUCGGCGCGUAAAGCCCUGUCAGCAGGGAAGAAAAUGACGGUACCUGAAGAAGAAGCCCCGGCUAACUACGUGCCAGCAGCCGCGGUAAUACGUAGGGGGCAAGCGUUAUCCGGAUUUACUGGGUGUAAAGGGGGCGCAGACGGCGAUGCAAGCCAGGAGUGAAAGCCCGGGGCCCAACCCCGGGACUGCUCUUGGAACUGCGUGGCUGGAGUGCAGGAGGGGCAGGCGGAAUUCCUGGUGUAGCGGUGAAAUGCGUAGAUAUCAGGAGGAACACCGGUGGCGAAGGCGGCCUGCUGGACUGCAACUGACGUUGAGGCCCGAAAGCGUGGGGAGCAAACAGGAUUAGAUACCCUUGUA
rnacentral:rRNA from 1 species